GCGCGCUGGCGGACCGGCGGGAGACUCGUGAAGACGAAGAGCUCUACGAAUACUUUAAAUAGGAGACCCUCGGGAGACAGGCGGCCAUAAACAAGACCGUUUUAAACAUUUUCAGAUGGUAUGAAGCUGAGGAGUCUGCACAGGCCUAGAAAUAUCAUUUUAUCCUGAUCUAUCUAAAGUGUUUUUGUCUAUUUUUGUUUAAUAUUUUGUUUUACCCAAUAAAAAAUGUGAU